AUUAAAAUUUUUAUGUAUUCUGUCUUCAUAGAAGCUUAAUGGGAUAGUAGCAUCACUAUAAUUAAGUGGACUGGUAUAUACUUUCCCCCAAUUUAUCUGUAAGUGCUAGCAUGAUUUACUUAUGAAAAAUAUAUUUGGAAAUUUCCACUUCCUCUUACAAGCUCUCUUAUGGGAGUAAGUACAGAGGAGGCUUUUAGAAGGUCGCACGUAUUCAGUAGGAAAAUUCAGGGACCGGAGGACUGACAGCCAACCUCUCAGGACCUGUUGUGACUUCCUGCUGGUGGGAGGACUCACCUGCACCAGUCAACAAAACGGAGGCUUAUGUCGCCUAAGGCUGGAGCUGGACCGGGUCUGCAUGCUGGUGAGGAAAGUGAGAUCUGCGUGUGGUAAGAAUUGAUUCAUCUUUGUGCCGGCUCCAUGCCCAUACUUGCCCGGCUGAAUGUAGCUGAAGAAUAAUAAAUGCACCUGAGAUGAAUUCUCCCUUACCUUUCCAGGUGGCUCAGUAGUAAAGAAUCUGUCUGUCAAUGCAGGAGAUGUGAGUUCAAUCCCUGGGUGGGGAAGCUCCCCUGGAGAAGGAAAUGGCAACCUACUCCAGUGUUCUUGCCUGGGAAAUCCGAUGGACAGAGGAGCCUGGUGGGCUACAGUCCAUGGAGCUGUGGAGUGGGACACAGCUGAGCACACUCACACAGAUCACCACCAUCCUGGAUUCCCAGAGUCCUCUCACUCUCUCCCUCCCCCUCUCUUCCCCCUCUCAAACUCCCACCCUCUUCCUCCAUUCUCACCCUGGUGGAUUGUAUCCCUUUGGGUCUCUCUCAGGAGCGGGAUGCCAUCCGAGGAGGGUGUCCACCUCUCAUGUGGACCACCUACAAGCAUCUCCAUGUCCUCCCAUCAAGAUUAGCCAAGCCACCUCUCCUCUGGCACGUGUCUUAGACCCCUCACCCAAGUUGGUCCAGGGACUUGCUCUAGAAAUGCUUCCUCUUUCUUCUCAUUAAUUAAUCUUCCCUAUCUAUAUGUAAACAUGCUGUUAUCUGAUCAUAAACAGAUAAAAAUCUCUAUUUUCCUGUCUCAGUAUUGCCUCACUUUCUCCAUUUCUUAGAGUAAAGCUCCCCUGAGUUGUCUAAACUGCCUUUCUCCAUUUCACGUCUCCCUCUGAGCAGGUCUCUGACCUCCAGGGCUCCACUAAGACAACUCUUAUCUUAGAUUCCCCCUUACCUAUUUAAACCAUCUUGGAAAUCUCCUCCAACAUCACAGCUUUAGGUUACCAGGGGUAGCUCAAGACUACAAAACUGCCAUUUCCAGCCAGGAAAGUCCCUCCAGGGGCUUCUUAAAAGACAUACUCAUUAUUGUCUCUGAUGCCCAGUUACCUCCCUGACCACAUCAUUUUCAUACUCUCCCCAGGGGUUGUUUUUAUCCAGACCCAUGUCUCCAUGUUGCCCCUGAGGCCUUACCCUGGCUUCACCCUCUGAGUCAGGCUCCCCACCCAUCUCCUCGGCCACAUACACCUGGUCUGGUCUUGACUAGCAACUGGCGAGUUUCCUUCUCUGACAAAUCUAAAUAAACCUCUCUGUCUACACCCUGUCUUUAAUUCUCCUCCAUUUUCACUUACCACCAUCUAACAUCAUAGGUAUAUAUCGUCUAUUCAUUUUGUUUGUUGUCGUGAGAUAGGUUAGAUGCUCAUCUAAAAAAAAUGUUCACAAAUUAGGAAAAUAAUGCAGGAAUACAUUUCUAAUACUUCAAUAAGUUUUUUUUCUGUCUUCAUAAAUCAGACCCAUUUAUGAUUUUCCUAUAUUGUUCUAUCUUUAUCAGAAUUUUGAAAGAGUUAUGGUACCUUUGGGAAGUGAAUUGGGAGGCCUUUCAUCUCUGUUCUGAGGCCUGGGAUAAUUUAACUUUGAGAAGCCUCUCUCUUGAAGGUUAUAUAAAUUCAUGUUACAUAAACCUCAGCUGGGACUCCAUCUGUCCUUGGUGUCUUUUUCAAUGGUAGAUCUUUAAGUGUCUUUUUCUAAACUCUCUUAUGGUAACUGAUGUAUUUAAGUUUCCCCUUCCUUUCUUUUUGGGUGAAUUUUGGCAAUAUAUAUUUUGCUGGGAAGUCAUCCAUUUCCUCUAAAUUUUCAAAUGUCUUGUCAGAAAGUUUCAUAUAUACAUAUAUUUUUAUGACUGCUUUAAUCACUUCUACCUCUAUAGUUAUAGUUAUUUCUUGUUUCUCUCUCCCAGUUUGGUGCAUUUUUUUGCCUUCUCUUUUUGCUUUAAACAAGCUCAUGAAGCAUUCAUAUAAAUAAACUGACUCAGAUUUGAAUUUUAAAAUUUCUGCUACCUUUAAAAUUUUUCCCUAGUUUUAGCUUUUGUAAUGAAUUUUUUUCCUCUUUGUUUUGGGUUUAAAUUAUUUUCUAUAUUCAUAGGAUGAGCACAACUCUAUUCUUUAACUUUCUUUGUAAAUAAUGAUGAUAUUUCAUGUCAAUUUUUUUCUUUUUCUGAAAACUACUUUCAUUCUGUCCCACAGGUUUAGCUGGGAAGAUAGUUCCUCCUCAUAACUUUUUACAUCCUUGUAAUUUUCCUUUUGAUUUUCUCUUUGUCCAAGAGUUAUCUGUCUAGGAAUGGUCUCCUUAAUCCCCCAGGGAUUCUGAUUAUUGGUCCCUUUAUAUUAUUCAUUAUUUCUGAUCUUAUUAGCUCAUGUUCACAGAA